GAUGAACGCUGGCGGCGUGCCUAAUACAUGCAAGUCGAGCGAACAGAUGAGGAGCUUGCUCCUCUGACGUUAGCGGCGGACGGGUGAGUAACACGUGGAUAACCUACCUAUAAGACUGGGAUAACUUCGGGAAACCGGAGCUAAUACCGUAUAAUAUAUUGAACCGCAUGGUUCAAUAGUGAAAGACGGUUUUGCUGUCACUUAUAGAUGGAUCCGCGCCGCAUUAGCUAGUUGGUAAGGUAACGGCUUACCAAGGCUACGAUGCGUAGCCGACCUGAGAGGGGGAUCGGCCACACUGGAACUGAGACACGGUCCAGGCUCCUACGGGAGGCAGCAGAAGGGAAUCUUCCGCAAUGGGCGAAAGCCUGACGGAGCAACGCCGCGUGAGUGAUGAAGGUCUUCGGAUCGUAAAACUCUGUUAUUAGGGAAGAACAAAUGUGUAAGUAACUAUGCACGUCUUGACGGUACCUAAUCAGAAAGCCACGGCUAACUACGUG
rnacentral:rRNA from 1 species